GGCGCGAGCCCUCGGCGCGAGCCCCGGAGCGCGCGCCCCCCGGAGGGGGGUUGAUUGACACGUGUCACACUACCUUCCCUUGGCCGUUCCCUCCCCCUCCCACCGCUCCCUCGGGGAGAGAGAAGGAAGCAACCUGCCGCUUCCGCUGACCCCGCCUCCCCAUCCACUCCCUUCCCCUCCUCCCCCCGGAGUUUACUCAGGCAAGCCAUACGGCUCCCGCCGUCCGCGAAAACCGUGAGAGAGAGCGAGAGACCCGGAGGUCCGCCAAGAACCCGCGUGCUGGAGGAGCGGACUGGCAACGCCUCCCUACUGCCUUCGCGCCGGGCUCUGGCCGUCCGUAAGACUUCACUUCCCAAGCUCCAUUGCUCCUAGUUCUCGAAGAGGAGCUCGUGGCUGUGGCGCGGUGCGCUCUGGGCGUUGUAGUCCAAUAAAGUUCUGCAAUAGAAGAGCUACGAGAACCUUAAGGGUAGACUAUCUCUUGCCAUCGGGAUGUGCUUCAUGUUUGAAAUGCUGGAAACUUUUUUGGAGUCAUUGUUACCUGAUCAUUCUUCAGUGAAUGAUGACUGCAUGUGAAGUUGCUGCCGGUCAUAUACAGAAAGAGCUGUAAGGACAAUCAGUUUCCAAGAAGAAGAGAUCUUGAAAAAUGAGAAUAGGUGCAAAGACUUAAAAAAAGAAAAAAGAUUAAAGGCCGUAAAUAACUUACCAUAAAUAAUUUACAGAAGGUUGGGAGUAGCUGGCUGAAAACUCCAGGACAGAAAUUCUUAAUACUGCCCCAAAUGUAAACCCUUGGAGGUCAGUAACCUACUGAAACUUUUGUCCUUGACAUUUUUUAUUGGCCCAACCCUAAUAGAGUUUGUGGGAUGGGAUUUAGCACUUUACAAUUGUUGUGGAAUGCAUUCUACACUAUGCUAGAGAAAAUUUCCUUCAAGAGAGAAGAAUCUUGAUCAACUAUAGACUUCAAAUUACUUUUUACUUUUGCACCAGAGCCAUUGUACAUUUCUUUAUGUAUAGUCACAGGAGACCAAGCAGAAGCUAAGCCACCCAAAGUUUACGGAGAAGUACUGUAUACUGCUGGAAAUUUAUAUUCAACUCUGCUGGAAAGUAAAUUUUAAUUCUUAUAAACUCAUAAAUUCUCA